AUUGGGACCAAAAACAGAACCACACUCUUCCACAACCAGGAUCAACCCCGUCACCAUAUCAGAUCCUGCAAUUCCUGCAAGAUGGACCACUAUCAUAGAGGGCACACAGUACACACUGCACACCCCCAGAACUCCGUCAACUGAAAUGCCAUCUCCACUAGAUGGAAAUGCAGAGGAAGAAUAGCACCACCAGAAGAAAUAUUGAUAUAUUUAUGUAUACAGUCUUAUUUUCUUCAGGACGGGAAACUGAGGAGCCAAUAUUUGUAAAAAUUGCAGAAAACUUAUGUCCUUGUUCACACUGAUGCGAUUUGGAUUCGGUUAUGGUGUGGCCCUGCCAAGAUGUGACCACUGUCCCAAGAUGUGCAGAAUGGCUUGUCUCUGCACUCCUGAUACAUGACCGACAGAUGGCGAUGCUAUCUUUGGUCCGCUUCGGGGUGAUAGCUACCUGGA